rnacentral:rRNA from 1 species
UACGAAGGUUGCAAGCGUUGUUCGGAAUCACUGGGCUUAAAGCGUAUGUAGGCGGAUGAGUAAGCGUUUUGUGAAAUACCCCGGCUUAACCGGGGAAUUGCUUGGCGAACUGCUCAUCUUGAGGCAAGCAGGGGUGCAUGGAACUCUUGGUGGAGCGGUGGAAUGCGUAGAUAUCAAGAGGAACGCCGGCGGCGAAAGCGGUGCACUGGGCUUGUUCUGACGCUCAGAUACGAAAGCGUGGGGAGCAAACGGG